rnacentral:lncRNA from 1 species
AUAUGGAUAAGAUUUUCAUGGCGGCCAUCAUUCCUUCUCAUAGUUUGGAGAAGAAUCAAUCUGCAGAAGCAUACAACCACCAAAUUUUAAGCUUACACAUGAUAAUUGAUAGGUAGGUGAAUGAAAAUAUGAUGAAAUUAGUACCGUUCAAGAUUUUAUAUAAUGGGACAAAUAUAAUAAUAGGUUGGUUGCUUUUUUUCUUCUCCAUUUUUUCUUGCUUACUUCUAUAGCUGCUUCUUUUGAGAGUGAACACUAGACUAGCCAAUCAAGCUGGUUGGCUUCCUUUCACUACUGUAAUGCCUUUGAUUACACUAACUAGAGAAAUGUGGUCCC